rnacentral:rRNA from 1 species
GAUGAACGCUGGCGGCGUGCUAAUACAUGCAAGUAGAACGCUGAAGCUUGGUGCUUGCACCGAGCGGAUGAGUUGCGAACGGGUGAGUAACGCGUAGGUAACCUGCCUCUUAGCGGGGGAUAACUAUUGGAAACGAUAGCUAAUACCGCAUAAAAGUCGACAUCGCAUGAUGUUGACUUGAAAGGUGCAAUUGCAUCACUAAGAGAUGGACCUGCGUUGUAUUAGCUAGUUGGUGAGGUAACGGCUCACCAAGGCGACGAUACAUAGCCGACCUGAGAGGGUGAUCGGCCACACUGGGACUGAGACACGGCCCAGACUCCUACGGGAGGCAGCAGUAGGGAAUCUUCGGCAAUGGGGGCAACCCUGACCGAGCAACGCCGCGUGAGUGAAGAAGGUUUUCGGAUCGUAAAGCUCUGUUGUAAGAGAAGAACGAGUGUGAGAGUGGAAAGUUCACACUGUGACGGUAACUUACCAGAAAGGGACGGCUAACUACGUGCCAGCAGCCGCGGUAAUACGUAGGUCCCGAGCGUUAUCCGGAUUUAUUGGGCGUAAAGCGAGCGCAGGCGGUUAGAUAAGUCUGAAGUUAAAGGCUGUGGCUUAACCAUAGUACGCUUUGGAAACUGUUUAACUUGAGUGCAGAAGGGGAGAGUGGAAUUCCAUGUGUAGCGGUGAAAUGCGUAGAUAUAUGGAGGAACACCGGUGGCGAAAGCGGCUCUCUGGUCUGUAACUGACGCUGAGGCUCGAAAGCGUGGGGAGCAAACAGG